rnacentral:rRNA from 1 species
UACGUAGGUCCCGAGCGUUGUCCGGAUUUAUGGGGCGUAAAGCGCACGUAGGCGGUGCGGUAAGUCAGGGGUUAAAGGCUGCAGCUCAACUGCAGUAAGGCCUUUGAUACUAUCGUGCUAGAGUGUCAGAGAGGAUGGCGGAAUUCCCGGUGUAGUGGUGAAAUGCGUAGAUAUCGGGAGGAACACCAGUAGCGAAGGCGGCCAUCUGGCUGAUAACUGACGCUGAGGUGCGAGAGCGUGGGGAGCAAACAGG